UACAGAGGGUGCAAGCGUUAAUCGGAAUUACUGGGCGUAAAGCGCACGCAGGCGGUUGGUUAAGUCAGAUGUGAAAGCCCCGGGCUCAACCUGGGAAUUGCAUUUGAAACUGGCCAACUAGAGUAUGUGAGAGGGGGGUAGAAUUCCAAGUGUAGCGGUGAAAUGCGUAGAGAUUUGGAGGAAUACCAGUGGCGAAGGCGGCCCCCUGGCACAAUACUGACGCUCAGGUGCGAAAGCGUGGGGAGCAAACAGGAUUAGAUACCCUGGUAGUCCACGCCGUAAACGAUGUCUACUAGCUGUUCGUGGUCUUGUACUGUGAGUAGCGCAGCUAACGCACUAAGUAGACCGCCUGGGGAGUACGGUCGCAAGAUUAAAACUCAAAUGAAUUGACGGGGNCCCGCACAAGCGGUGGAGCAUGUGGUUUAAUUCGACGCAACGCGAAGAACCUUACCUACUCUUGACAUCUAGCGAAGAUUGUAGAGAUACGAUUGUGCCUUCGGGAACGCUAAGACAGGUGCUGCAUGGCUGUCGUCAGCUCGUGUUGUGAAAUGUUGGGUUAAGUCCCGCAACGAGCGCAACCCUUAUCCUUAGUUGCCAGCACGUAAUGGUGGGAACUCUAGGGAGACUGCCGGUGAUAAACCGGAGGAAGGUGGGGACGACGUCAAG
rnacentral:rRNA from 1 species